ACGAACGCUGGCGGCAUGCUUAACACAUGCAAGUUGUACGAGAAUCAGGGGCUUGCUCCUGAGGAAAGCAGCGCACGGGUGAGUAACGCGUGGAUAACGUACCCUAGGGUUGGGAAUAACUUACCGAAAGGUGGGCUAAUACCUGAUACGUUCCAAAUAAGUUCGCUUUAUUGGAAGAAAGCAGGGCAACCUGCGCCCAAGGAUCGGUCCGCGUUCCAUCAGCUUGUUGGUGGGGUAAUGGCCUACCAAGGCUACGACGGAUAACUGGUCUGAGAGGAUGAUCAGUCACACUGGAACUGAGACACGGUCCAGACUCCUACGGGAGGCAGCAGUGGGGAAUAUUGGUCAAUGGGCGAAAGCCUGAACCAGCAAUGCCGCGUGGGUGAUGAAGGCCUUCGGGUUGUAAAGCCCUGUCAGUGGGAACGAAUAAGCCGAUUAAUACUCGGUGAUGACGGUACCCACAAAGGAAGCACCGGCUAACUCUGUGCCAGCAGCCGCGGUAAUACAGAGGGUGCAAGCGUUGUUCGGAAUUACUGGGCGUAAAGCGCGUGUAGGCGGCUUGUUAAGUCGGACGUGAAAGCCCUCGGCUCAACCGAGGAACUGCGUUCGAAACUGGCAGGCUAGAGUAUCGGAGGGGAUGGUGGAAUUCCCUGGUGUAGCGGUGAAAUUCGUAGAUAUCAGGGAGGAACACCUGUGGCGAAGGCGACUCAUCUGGCCAGAUACUGACGCUGAGACGCGAAAGCGUAGGGGAGCAAACGGAUUAGAUACCCUGGUAGUCCUAGCCGUAAACGUGGAGCACUAGGUGUUGGAGGCAUCGACCCCUCCAGUGCCGCAGCUAACGCAUUAAGUGCCCCGCCUGGGGAGUACGGCCGCAAGGUUGAAACUCAAAGGAAUUGACGGGGGCCCGCACAAGCGGUGGAGCAUGUGGUUUAAUUCGACGCAACGCGAAGAACCUUACCCAGGCUUGACAUGCAUCGGGACGAGUGUGGAAAGACACACUUCCCUUCGGGGCUCGUGCACAGAUGCUGCAUGGCUGUCGUCAGCUCGUGUCGUGAGAUGUUGGGUUAAGUCCCGCAACGAGCGCAACCCUUGUCCUUAGUUGCUACGGUAUUCCGUGGGCACUCUAAUGAGACUGCCGGUGGUAAACCGGAGGAAGGUGGGGAUGACGUCAAGUCCUCAUGGCCCUUACGCCUGGGGCUACACACGUGCUACAAUGGCCGGUACAAAGGGUUGCCAAGACCGCGAGGUGGAGCCAAUCCCACAAAAGCCGGCCUCAGUUCGGAUUGGCAGUCUGCAACUCGACUCCAUGAAGUUGGAAUCGCUAGUAAUCGCUGAUCAGCAGGCAGCGGUGAAUACGUUCCCGGGCCUUGUACACACCGCCCGUCAAGCCACGAAAGUCGGUAGCUACCCGAAGUCGGCUACGUGCCAACCGCAAGGGGGCAGCGCCUAAGGUAAGACCGGUGAUUGGGGCU
rnacentral:rRNA from 1 species